rnacentral:misc_RNA from 1 species
AAAGUCGUAACAAGGUUUCCGUAGGUGAACCUGCGGAAGGAUCAUUAAUGAAGUACGCUCUUUAAGGGCAUUCUCCAUUUAUUCACCCUUUGUGCACUUGUCCAAUGUUAUUUUGGCGAAAUGACCCUCUCUCUCUUAUGUGAGAAGGCGUCGCCAAAAGCUUUUUUUUUCCUACGCUUUGAAUAUAUGUCUAAAACCAUGAAUCCAUAAUGAAAGAAAACUUUUAACAACGGAUCUCUUGGCUCUC